UACGUAGGGGGCAAGCGUUGUCCGGAUUUAUUGGGCGUAAAGAGCGUGUAGGCGGCCAGGUAGGUCUGCUGUGAAAACUCGAGGCUUAACCUCGAGCUGUCGGCGGAAACCAUCUGGCUAGAGUCCGGAAGAGGAGAAUGGAAUUCCCGGUGUAGCGGUGAAAUGCGCAGAUAUCGGGAAGAACACCCGUGGCGAAGGCGGUUCUCUGGGACGGUACUAAAGCUGAGACGCGAAAGCGUGGGGAGCGAACAGG
rnacentral:rRNA from 1 species